CUUGGCCAAACUAAGCCCUAGACAUAAGUGCUUAUGCAAUAAAAGUUGGCUUAACCUGUAGGUAGUGCCGCAAUCACUGUAGUUGUGUUCUUCGCAAUUUUCUCUGCACAAGAUAUUCAUUCCCCCCAAAACCAACCGUUCAAUUCAGUUCUCCUUUUUCAUCUACCUGUAUUCUCUUCCUUUCUUCCUUCAUUCAUUUCUCUUUCUGAAAUCUUGAUUGGGACUAUCCCUUUGGUUCUUAAUGGGAAAGCCCUCAGGGAAGAAGAAGGGUAUCGCUACUCCGGCUACUGCAAAUUCACAUGCCAAACCUGCCAAGUCCUCCAAGGCUUUCGAUGAAGAUACAGCAAUGUUCAUUAACAUGUCACAAGAGUUCAGAGAAGAAGGUAACAAGUUGUUUCAGAAGAAGGAUCACGAAGGCGCCAUGCUCAAGUACGAGAAGGCACUGAAGCUGCUUCCGAAGAACCACAUAGAUGUCGCACACCUUCAUACCAACAUGGCCACGUGUUACAUGCAAUUGGGUCUCGGGGAAUACCCUCGAGCCAUUCACGAAUGCAAUUUGGCGCUGGAAGUGUCUCCAAGGUACAGCAAAGCUCUUCUGAAAAGAGCCACAUGCUAUCGUGAGCUUAAUCGCUUGGAUUUGGCGCUAAGGGAUGUUAAUCUUGUUUUGAGCAUGGAGCCAAAUAACCUCACCGCUUUGGAGCUUCUCGAGAGUCUCACGAAGUCAACGGAAGAAAAGGGGGUCCCUGUUGAUGAUAAAAGGGUGGCUUUUGAUACCACCGUUUAUCAUUCUCCUUCUCCUUCUUCGCAAAAACUGAAGAAGAAGAGAGGUAAAAAAAUUGAGGACAAGGUGGUUGUGGAGGAAAAGCUGGGUUUGAUUGUUGAGGAUAAAAAGGUGGUUUCCAAACCAAUUGGGCAAGAAGGCAAGGUGGUUUCCAAAACAAUAGGGCAAGAAGGCAAGGUGGUUUCAAAAACAAUUGAGCAAGUAAAAGAGUUGGAUUCAAAAACAAUUGAGCAAGUACAAGAGUUGGAUUCAAAAACAAUUGAGCAAGUAAAAGAGUUAGAUUCAAAAACAACUGAGCAAGAAAAAAAGGUGGUGGAAAUCAAACCUGUGGAGGAAGAAAAAACUGUCACGAUCACAAGGAGCGUGAAGUUGGUGUUUGGAGAAGAUAUAAGGUGGGCUCAGUUACCCGUGAAUUGUAGCGCCAAGUUGGUGAGGGAUAUAGCCAGGAAUCGGUUUCCAGGUUUGAAGGGAGUUCUUGUCAAGUAUAAGGAUAAAGAAGGUGAUUUGGUUACUAUCACUACUACAGAUGAACUAAGGUUAGCUGAAAAGUCUGCUCCUGAGAAGGCAUCGUUUAGGCUUUAUAUUACUGAGGUCAGUCCAGAUCAAGAACCUUCUUAUGAUGGAACAACAACCAAUGGGAAUGAAGUGCAAAGGGAUGGUGAAAAUCAAAAUGAUGGUGUUGAGAAUAGGGGUACGGAAGAAGGCAGAGAUGAAGAUGCUGCAAAGAGGAUGAUUACUGUGGAGGACUGGCUUCUCCAGUUUGCAAGGCUGUUUAAGAACCAUGUAGGGUUUGAGUCUGAUUCUUAUCUAGACACUCAUGAGUUUGCAAUGAAGCUGUACGGAGAAGCGAUGGAAGAUACGGUAGCAAGCAAUGAUGCUCAAGAACUUUUUGGAAUUGCUGCUGAUAAAUUUCAAGAGAUGGCUGCCUUGGCACUGUUUAAUUGGGGAAGUGUUCAGAUGUCCAGGGCAAGGAACCAAGGUUUCUUUUCGGAGGAUGGGGCUAGAGAAUCUUCCUUGGAGCAUAUAAAAGCUGCAUAUGAGUUGGCACGAAAGGAGUACGAGAAAGCAGAAUUGAGAUAUGAAGAAGCCUUGAAAAUCAAACCUGACUUCUACGAAGGAUAUCUUGCUCUUGGGCAUCAGCAGUUUGAGCAAGCAAGGCUGUGCUGGUGUUAUGCAUUGGCAUGCAAGGACUCAAAUGCUGGCUUUUCUGAGGAGGUUCUACAACUUUAUAACAAGGCAGAGGAUAGCAUGGAGAAAGGCAUCUUGAUGUGGGAGGAGGUUGAGGAGCAGCGUCUGAAUGGAAUAUCCAAAUCAGAUAAAUAUAAAGAACAGUUAGAGAAAAUGGGCUUGGAUGAUCUUUUCAAAGAUGUUUCUGAUGAUGAAGCUUCAAAGCAAGCUGCAAAGAUGAGAUCUCAGAUACACCUUCUAUGGGGAACCUUGUUGUAUGAACGUUCUGUUGUGGAAUAUAAGCUUGGCCUUCCCACAUGGGAGGAAUGUUUGGAGGUUGCUGUUGAAAAAUUUGAACUAGCUGGAACUUCUGGAACAGAUAUUGCUUUCAUUGUAAAGAAUCACUGCUCAAAUGAAACAGCGCUUGAAGGGUUCAAAAUUGAAGAGAUAGUACAGGCAUGGAAUGAGAUGUACGAUGCUCAGGGGUGGCAGUUUGGUGAUCCAUCAUUUCGACUUGAACCAUUGUUUCGUCGGCGUGUUCCUAAACUCCAUUCCAUAUUGGAGCAGUUUUAAGUUUUCUUCUUUAGUUAAAAAUUCUUCAGAGGCAUGAUUUCUUUUGUCUUGGUAUUUUUGAAGCUGUCUUCAUCCCCUGCUAAGACGGGGAUUUUUGUUCUGCAUAUUUAGCUCAUGUUCGGUGCUAUGAUUGGAUUAUUUUUUCUGAUGCCAGUGUUAUACUAGUUGGGAUUUGAGACUAGAAAAGCUGGUUAUAUAUAUUUAUUUUGUUUUUAUACUUGAAGAGAUUUGCUGUAGGGUUUCAUUCUUUAAGGUGUACCAGUAUAUUGGAUGAUUUGAUUUGUUCAGCUUGCACCAAAAAUAUAUACACAUACAGAUUUUUUUCAUAGGUAAAGGCUUGUGAUUAAUAUUGUAACGUGUCCUUGGUGAGUGAUUAAGUGGUGGAAUGUAACAAUUUAUGGAUGUCAAGUACCACAUUAUAUUAUUCAUUUUUAUCUUAUUUUUCGUCCAAUUCUA